CGAAAUCAACUGAAGAAGAGUGACAUCACCACUGAGCUCUGGCUACACAUCAGUAGAAAAGGGUAAGAGAGAUUAGAUUGGAAAACAAACAGAGAUCCAACUGAUGCAGAGGGAAACUGGGGAGUAUGCAGGGAGGGACCCAGUGGAUCUGAGCUGGAGAAGCAUGAACAUUUGCCAGCAGAGGAGUGCUCCUCUACUGAGAGGCUGUGAUUCGCGGUCUUUGCCAAAUUUGGUGCAGAAGCUAAUAGUACAUUUCCAUACUGGAUUUCCAAGCAGAAUGUUCAUAUCUUUUUCUGUACGUAGACUGACUCAGCCUUGCCACAAUUUUGUGGGCGAAGUGGGCUUGAACAAGGAACACGAAGUCCCAGUUGUCACAGAGAGCCAUCUUGCUCCCCUGAGGAGAACUGGUCUUAAGAUCAAGAGUGACAGAGCAGAGCUACUGAAAGAACCUGAAUUUUCGAUACCUCCAUUGAACUGCUGUUCAUUAUCGCUGGAGCCCACUUUACCCUUUGGAUUGCCAGAAAUGGAAGAAAAUAAAUGUCCUUUUUGUUUGUCUAUUUAAACGGAGCUUUUCUGUAAUACACAGCCAAAAGCUCUCAAGUGUAACUUACUUAAACUCUUAAAAAUAGCAUUGUGUAUUUACUUUAUUCUUUCCUCACAACUUUGGGUGGCAUACUUCUAAUACAUUUGAGAAUACAGAGGCCAACUAAGGACAAAUUAUGUACCAAAUAUAAUCUAACCAUGUUAUGACUAGAACUUCCACAGCCUAACAUACCAACAACAUAUGAUAGUCCCUUAAGAUAAUUCAGACAGAUCAAAACAGUAGCUUAAGUAUUUAAACCAUUCUGUGACCUCUGCCAGGUUACUCAUUCUCGCUAGGCCUGAAUUUCACAUCUGUAAGAUAAGGAUAAUAAUAUCUACCUGAUGGACUUGUGGUGUAAACUGAAGAUCUAAACAUCUGAAACAUAGUAAGCUCUCAAUAAGUAUCUGCUCUGUGUGAAUUUCCCAGCACAUCCAGCUCACAGCUUUACAUAGUGGCUACUCAGUCAAUGUUUCCUGAACAAAAUAAAAUUGAGUACUAUAUCCAUGCUGUGAAAUAUGUGCUAUUAUAGAAGGAAUAAGUACAAUUAGUAGGACUUUUUUCAACUUUUGAUCCUUCUAAGCCUUUCAUUGCUUCCAGUUUUGCAUUGAUAUUUUUCCUAUCUUACUGCUCACUCCUAAACCAAAAUGGAAAAUUAGCACAUGAUUACAGUCUAUUUAAAUGUAUGAUAAGUC
ensembl:lncRNA